rnacentral:rRNA from 1 species
UACGUAGGGGCGCAAGCGUUGUCCGGAAUUAUUGGGCGUAAAGAGCUCGUAGGCGGCCUGUCGGCGUCCGCUGUGAAAAUCCCCGGGGGCUUAAACCCCCGGGCGUGCAGUUGGAUACGGGGCUGGCUAGAGGCAGGCAGGGGAGAACGGAAUUCCCGGUGUAAGCGGUGAAAUGCGCAGAUAUCGGGAGGAACACCGGUGGCGAAGGCGGUUCUCUGGGCCUGUUCUGACGCUGAGGAGCGAAAGCGUGGGGAGCAAACAGG